CUCCAGUGAGGCGGUGUUGGCAACUGCAGUCGCAGCUUCCUGGCUGCCUGAUCUGUUGGAGGAGCGCUGCAUCCCCGUUUCCCAGGGACCCGGCAGCACGCUGCUGUCACAGCAAGUGGCUGACAGCCACUUCUUCCCCACUGCUUCCCCAGUCCUGACAGGAGGGUAUCCUCUUGCAGAAGCAGGUCAGCCUGGGGAGAAGGCUGCUCCGUGCUGAAGUGCCACUUUUGUUUGGAGAUGGUUGCUGAAAUGUAAACUGAAUGAUCUCAACUUCAGUCUGGAGUUAAGCAGUCACGUGCCUUUCUCUGAAAUCAUUCCUGGCCCCAGACAAGAUCACUCCAGGUAGCUGUCUCACAGCAACAAUCUAUUGAUUCUCACUGCACCGGGUGAAGAAGAAACACUGGAUCAGUAUAGGAUUUCUCCCCUCAGGUGCAGUCUCUAUUACCUGCCUUCUCUGCUCUCCCAUUCUCCUUCCCUCCCACACCUGAAUGGAUCUAAGUUCUGCUUGCAGGACUCCAGGAUCAUCUGCCGAAAAUGUCCUUGGUGCUGGUGAAGAUUAUCAAGAAGCACCUUUCUAAUCCCAGAGUAAAGCCUAAUCCAAGUCUUAAAAUCAUAC